rnacentral:rRNA from 1 species
UAAAGAAUUUCGGUAUGGGAUGGGGAUGCGUUCCAUUAGUUAGUUGGCGGGGUAACGGCCCACCAAGACAACGAUGGAUAGGGGUUCUGAGAGGAAGGUCCCCCACAUUGGAACUGAGACACGGUCCAAACUCCUACGGGAGGCAGCAGUGAGGAAUAUUGGUCAAUGGACGAGAGUCUGAACCAGCCAAGUAGCGUGAAGGAUGACUGCCCUAUGGGUUGUAAACUUCUUUUAUAUGGGAAUAAAAUGUUCCACGUGUGGGAUUUUGUAUGUACCAUAUGAAUAAGGAUCGGCUAACUCCGUGCCAGCAGCCGCGGUAAUACGGAGGAUCCGAGCGUUAUCCGGAUUUAUUGGGUUUAAAGGGAGCGUAGGUGGAUUGCUAAGUCAGUUGUGAAAGUUUGCGGCUCAACCGUAAAAUUGCAGUUGAAACUGGCAGUCUUGAGUACAGUAGAGGUGGGCGGAAUUCGUGGUGUAGCGGUGAAAUGCUUAGAUAUCACGAAGAACUCCGAUUGCGAAGGCAGCUCACUGGACUGCAACUGACACUGAGGCUCGAAAGUGUGGGUAUCAAACAGGAUUAGAUACCCUGGUAGUCCACACAGUAAACGAUGAAUACUCGCUGUUUGCGAUAUACAGUAA